GCACAUGGAAAAGAGGUCGACACAGUGGCGAACCGUAGUGUCCAGUACCACAAAGAAUAACUCUACAAUGGAAGUGGAAUAUGAAAAACUAUUCAACUACAUCACAUGGCAAAAGAUGAGUACAUCUGUCCAGUAGCCUCCCUGCCCUCUUCAUUAACCUUCAUAGUGAACCUGCUGCACUACCUGACAUGUCUGCGCAAAACCAUACAGGAUUAAGGAGCCCUUGCAGGAAUACAGUGUCUGGAACCAGUGGUGAAAAUCAGGCUUAGCAGAGAAGAUGGGCAUUGACUACAUCCUUCCACGUUCACCUUCCACCUUCCAUCCUUCAGAAUGACCACUGCAAGAAGUAACCCAGCACCAACAUAGCUGUCAGGGUCUUGCAGUCUGAGAUGGUGCAAUUCCCAAACCCAGCAGGAUGAUCUUUAUGGCCUCUCUGAAGAACAUGGUGAGGAUGGUGGGCGGGAGAUGAGCUUUCCUUAGACCCCUUAGGAAAUAGAGUCGCUGCUGGGCUUUCUUGGCUGUGGAGCUGGUGUUGAAGGUCCAGGUCGAUGUUGUACCAAUCUCUUAGUUUCCUCUCUGUUCACUGACUCAUCGUCCCUGCUGAUCAGACCCACAGCAGUCAUGUCAUCAGCGAACUUGACGAUGUGGCUGGUGCUGUGUAUUGCUGUACAGUUGAGUCAGCAGAGUGAACAACAGUGGACUGAACAUACAGCCGUGGGGGACAGCAGUGUGUUGGUGUUGGAGGUGCUGCUCCCGAUCUGGACUGAUAGAGGUAUCCUAGUCAGGAAGUCCAGGAUACAGUUGCAGAGACAGGUGAAGGCCAGAUAAAUGGUGAUGAUAAUGAUGAGUGAUGGUGAUUAUGUCGUCGCUUGAACAGUUGGGAAGAUACCUCUCCUUUCACUACAAGAAUAUAGUGUGGAUUUAUAUACAGCAGUUUUAAUGAUCACUGACCAUGAGGAGAUUACAAGGUUUUUGCUAUAUCUUUGUUGUUUAAAGUUAAAAAAGACAGCAACAGAACAAAAAUAUAGACAAGCUAUGAAUUUAAUAAAGUUUUUAGUUUAUGCUUAGCCAUAUAACCGUCAUACUACUUGGGAACCUUCUAUGAAAAAAUAAAUAAAUAAACAAAA